UGGACUAUAUAUAUAUAUAUAUAAAUACAUACAUGCAAGAAGUCAUAGAAGUAAUUAAUGAUGUUUAUGUUAAAUAUAUUAUUCCAUGGAAGGUGGAAGGAGCAGCAAACGAAAAUGGGAGGACUCCCAGCAUUUGGGAUAGUUCUUUUGCUCCUAGUGCCGUAUUUGGACAACCUUACAAGAGGAUCCAUCAAAUAAUCAUCUUGGGUGUCCUCUACUGAAAAAAUGGAGAAGAGCUGGAAACUAGCUUUACUCCUCCUGCAUAUAUUUCUAAAAGACUCUGCUCUUCAUAAGUCCAGAACCAGAAACUGAGCCAACCUCUUCAUCAUCAUCAUCAACAUCUCCAUGAGAAAAAGAGAGUUUUACCAAAAACCGCUAUUGUAAAAGAGAUAGAAUCCAACCAGUAUUGAAAGAUUUGAGAAGCGAGGAAAACCUGAUCGGUGAACUUCAGCAGAGAUCUAUUCGAAAUUUGUUGAAGGCACGGCUGACUAUUCGAGAUCUGUUCGAUGAAGGUUAGCUGGUGUGCGUGGGUCAACGAGCGGUGAACGUUUCGCAAGCCAGUGAAGGAGCUGGUCGAGCGACGAAGGUGAGAGAGAAGAGAGGCCAAGGUGAGAGAACAGGUGGAAACAUCUUUUUAAUGUUUUCCCAAUUUUGUUUUUUUUUUAAACUUGUUUUUAGAAUUUGUUUUUAGAAACAAAUGGCCAAACAGAUAUCAAAUU